UGCCAUAUCACGUUGAAACAGCGGUUCCCGUAUGAUCAGCGAAGUUAAGCAACGUAGAGCCAGGUCAGUGUCUAGAUGGGUGACCGCUUGGGAAUACCAGGUGCUGUAA